rnacentral:rRNA from 1 species
GAUGAACGCUGGCGGCGUGCCUAAUACAUGCAAGUCGAGCGAACGGACGAGAAUCUUUCUUCUCUUAUGUUAGCGGCUGACGGGUGAGUAACACGUGUAUAACCUACCUAUUAUUCUUGGAUAACUUCGGGAAACCGCUGCUAAUACCGUCUAAUAUUUUGAACCGCAUUGUUCAAAAGUUCUAUUCGGUCUUUCUUUCUCUUAUAGAUUUAUCCCCUCUGCAUUAGCUAGUUGUUAAGGUAACGGCUUAACAAGGCAACGAUGCAUAUCCGACCUGAGAGGGGGAGCGGACACACUGGAACUGAGACACGGACAAGACUACUACGGGAGGCAGCAGUAGGGAAUAUUCCGCAAUGGGCGAAAGCAUGACGGAGCAACGCAGAGUGAGUGAUGAAGGUCUUAGGAUCGUAAAACUCUGUUAUUAGGGAAGAACAAAUGUGUAAGAAACAGAGCACAUCAUGACGGUAACAAAACAGAAAGCCACGGCUAACUACGUG